AUCCAACUAUACCCACUUCCAUAUUAAAGUCAACUUUGUGGGUAAUUAUGUGGCUUUGCGAAGGAUUCCAGCAUCUCCAAUUAAUUGUAGAAGCUGUUUUUUUAGAUCAGAAGGCUUUUCGCCCAAUUCCAUUUAAAUGAAAUAAUUGUAGAAGUUGUAUCUAGUGGAUUUUUACACCAUCUAGAUACAGCUAAAGAAACAACGCUACAAUGCGUUGUCUCUGCUACGUCCUUCUAAUGAAAAAAAUCAUCUAUACCAAGCCGUCUUCCUCUCUUUUGCGAUACCAGUAUACCAUGGGCUGUUUUAAGACAGAGAUAAACUAAGGAAGGCUCUUUUGGUGACGGAACCAAUUACCUAUUGCUUCUCUUUUAAGGAGUUGCCUAUGGCUUUGGUGCUCAACCUGUGUGUUCAUGUGGCAUUACCAUAGUAAAUUUUAGGAUUUAUGACAUCUUUUAGUACUACUGAGUUGUAACAGUUGCAGUUGUGACCACUCAGGAGGUUUCUUGUGCGAAGUCUGUUGGUGGAACGGUGGAACCAGUCCAUCUUGGUUAUGAGCCACAUGCGAGGCCACUAAAAUGUAGGCCACAAGUCUUACAUCAGUGCUGACUGCAGAGAGGGGGAUCAGGGAUGGUGCACUAAUUGGAGAUUCCAGUAUAUAGUUGUGUAGGGUCUGAAAAAAUUGUCAUCAAUAUGCAAUGAACCGGAAACCACAGAUUCCGGGCCAAUUAUCUGGAAAGUUUGCUUGAUUCCUCCCAUGAUCACCCUGAUCAGACAGGAAGGCAUUAGAAUACUGCUUUGAUUCAUUAUUCCAUGACAUGUCCAGGAAUCUUGAUGCCUCUUGGCAAGGCAACACAGUUGUUAUAUAACGUUGUACAACAUCUGACCUGAGCAAUUCUCACAAGACAGUUUUGCUCUGAACAGGCACUGAAGGAAAGACUUUACUCACAACUGGUGGGAUCGGUUAUUCAGAUAAAAAACUUGCUGGAUUGCAUUAUUAAUUGAGACAUGCAACAGUGCUGCACGCAAUCGGAUUCUUUAGAAUCUGACAACUAAGCUGGAAUCGAAAUCUGGAAACUGUACCUGAACUGCAUAGAACUCUGAGGAUUUGGAUAUUCUGAGUCAAGAGAGGUGAUUUGUACAUGAUUAUAAUUUUAGUUUUGCUCUGUGUACCAGAGGAACAGUAUCCAUAUGGUGGAGCUAGCUCAUCGGCCAUGGUCGAGUGAAUGGAACUCUGAAACCAACAGCUGCUGAAAGUCUCUUCCUUCUUGCCCUUCAAAAAAAAAGUCUCUUCCUCCUUGCUAGGCAGGAGGAAUGGUGAUAUGGUAUGCUUGGAAGUUAGUUCGACUUUCUUGAUGGUAUCGAUGCCAUGAAGUCUUAUGUAUGUGAUGACGGCAAUGCUCAAAUCAGUGUUCAAUUCAGGCCACUGAAAUUAGUAAGUGCCAAAGUUGAGAGCUGGCAAUAAAUGAAGGCAGGAUAUGGAAGUUCAGAUCUCCAUGAUCAUUCCCAGAAGGCAUUAUGUGAACUUCAUUAGAUGGUGGCACUUCUCUAUAUCAGUUGGAAGUUCUGGUCCAAAGAACCUAGUGACGGCAAGAUAAAGAAGGCCAAAUACAACUCCAAGAAAACAAAAUAUCGUGUUUAAAAAAUUCUGGAAAACAAUUCACGCGUAUGGAUGGCUGAGUAUUGUAUCCAUGAGUAAUUUUCUGUGCUAAAUGUUACUGCUUUUUAUUUGCCA